UACGUAGGGUGCGAGCGUUGUCCGGAAUUAUUGGGCGUAAAGAGCUCGUAGGCGGUGUGUUACGUCGGCCGUGAAAACCUGCAGCUUAACUGUGGGCGUGCGGUCGAUACGGGCAUCACUGGAGUUCGGCAGGGGAGACUGGAAUUCCUGGUGGUAGCGGUGAAAUGCGCAGAUAUCAGGAGGAACACCGGUGGCGAAGGCGGGUCUCUGGGCCGAUACUGACGCUGAGGAGCGAAAGCGUGGGGAGCGAACAGG
rnacentral:rRNA from 1 species